AGAGAAAAUCUGGAUUGAGAACUCACAACCUAUCGGUUGUCACAGGCUGCACAUGCGGAGGGUCUGUAGCUCAGUCGGUUAGAGCAUCGUCUUGAUAAGGCGAGGGUCGUUGGUUCGAUUCCAACCAGACCCACCAGUGUAUCGACGGCGGGCCACUGUGCGCGGAGGCAACGAUUGGAUCUUUUCGGCAAAGAGUCGGGAGGGUCGUCGCCGAACAGCGGGGGAUUAGCUCAGCUGGGAGAGCACCUGCUUUGCAAGCAGGGGGUCGUCGGUUCGAUCCCGUCAUCCUCCACCAACCGUCAAUCGUGAGCUGUCAGGCCUGCUGGGUCGAUGACCCUGCAGGCCUGACUCCUUACCGGGUCUGUGCUCUU
rnacentral:tRNA from 1 species